rnacentral:rRNA from 1 species
UACGUAGGGUGCGAGCGUUAAUCGGAAUUACUGGGCGUAAAGUGUGCGCAGGCGGCAGAGCAAGUCGAGUGUGAAAGCCCCGGGCUCAACCUGGGAAUUGCAUUCGAGACUGAAUAGCUAGGGUACGGUAGAGGGAAGUGGAAUUUCCGGUGUAGCGGUGAAAUGCGUAGAUAUCGGAAGGAACAUCAGUGGCGAAAGCGACUUCCUGGACCAGUACCGACGUUCAGGCACGAAAGCGUGGGGAGCAAACAGG